rnacentral:rRNA from 1 species
AACAGGAUUAGAUACCCUGGUAGUCCACGCUGUAAACGAUGUCGACUUGGAGGUUGUGCCCUUGAGGCGUGGCUUCCGGAGCUAACGCGUUAAGUCGACCGCCUGGGGAGUACGGCCGCAAGGUUAAAACUCAAAUGAAUUGACGGGGGCCCGCACAAGCGGUGGAGCAUGUGGUUUAAUUCGAUGCAACGCGAAGAACCUUACCUACUCUUGACAUCCAGAGAAUUUGCUAGAGAUAGCUUAGUGCCUUCGGGAACUCUGAGACAGGUGCUGCAUGGCUGUCGUCAGCUCGUGUUGUGAGAUGUUGGGUUAAGUCCCGCAACGAGCGCAACCCUUAUCCUUUGUUGCCAGCGAGUAAUGUCGGGAACUCAAAGGAGACUGCCGGUGAUAAACCGGAGGAAGGUGGGGAUGACGUCAAGUCAUCAUGGCCCUUACGAGUAGGGCUACACACGUGCUACAAUGGCAUAUACAAAGAGAAGCGAACUCGCGAGAGCAAGCGGACCUCAUAAAGUAUGUCGUAGUCCGGAUUGGAGUCUGCAACUCGACUCCAUGAAGUCGGAAUCGCUAGUAAUCGUAGAUCAGAAUGCUACGGUGAAUACGUUCCCGGGCCUUGUACACACCGCCCGUCACACCAUGGGAGUGGGUUGCAAAAGAAGUAGGUAGCUUAACCUUCGGGAGGGCGCUUACCACUUUGUGAUUCAUGACUGGGGUGAAGUCGUAACAAGGUAACC